rnacentral:rRNA from 1 species
UACGUAGGGGGCAAGCGUUGUCCGGAGUUACUGGGCGUAAAGCGCACGCAGGCGGUGCGCCGCGUUUUCGGUGCCAGCUCGUUGCUUAACGACGGGAGUGCCGGGAAGACGGGCGCACUUGAGGGCCUCAGAGGGACCUGGAAUUCCGGGUGGAGUGGUGAAAUGCGUAGAGAUCCGGAGGAAUACCAAAGGCGAAGGCAGGGUCCUGGGAGGUGACUGACGCUGAGGGG